rnacentral:rRNA from 1 species
AGCAGCCGCGGUAAUUCCAGCUCCAAUAGCGUAUAUUAAAGUUGUUGCAGUUAAAAAGCUCGUAGUUGAAUUUCGGGAUCAUCAGGUUGGUCGUGCCUCUGGUAUGUACUGAUUUCGAUGGUCCCUCCUUCUUGAAGAGCCGUAAUGCCAUUAAUUUGGUGUUGCGGGGAAUCAGGACUGUUACUUUGAAAAAAUUAGAGUGUUUAAAGCAGGCAAUCGCUUGAACACAUUAGCAUGGAAUAAUGAAAUAGGACGUUCGAUCCUAUUUUGUUGGUUUCUAGGAUUGACGUAAUGAUUAAUAGGGAUAGUUGGGGGCAUUAGUAUUCAAUUGUCAGAGGUGAAAUUCUUGGAUUUAUUGAAGACUAACUACUGCGAAAGCAUUUGCCAAGGAUGUUUUCAUUAAUCAAGAACGAAAGUUAGGGGAUCGAAGACGAUCAGAUACCGUCGUAGUCUUAACCAUAAACUAUGCCGACUAGGGAUCGGAUGAUGUUAAUUUUUAAUGA